rnacentral:tRNA from 1 species
GCAGCCGUAUUUGACUGGUUACGGUGUUCGCUUUGUAAGCGAAUGAUCCUGGGUUCGAUUCCUAUCUGCUCCA